rnacentral:rRNA from 1 species
AGCAGCCGCGGUAAUUCCAGCUCCAAUAGCGUAUAUUAAAGUUGUUGCAGUUAAAAAGCUCGUAGUUGAAUUUCGAAAUUUUUUUAUCGGUUAAAUCAACAGGUUUAUACUGAUUUUAAGAAUUUCUACCUUCUGGAGAACCUUAAUGUCAUUUAUUUGAUGUUUUGGGAAACCAGGACUGUUACCUUGAAAAAUUAGAGUGUUUAAAGCAGGCUUAUGUCUGAAUAUAUUAGCAUGGAAUAAUGAAAUAGGACGGCAUGGUUCUAUUUUGUUGGUUUCUAGGAUCACCGUAAUGAUUAAUAGGGAUAGUUGGGGGCAUUAGUAUUCAAUUGUCAGAGGUGAAAUUCUUGGAUUUAUUGAAGACUAACUUCUGCGAAAGCAUUUGCCAAGGAUGUUUUCAUUAAUCAAGAACGAAAGUUAGGGGAUCGAAGACGAUCAGAUACCGUCGUA